rnacentral:rRNA from 1 species
AAGGUAGCGAAAUUCCUUGUCGGGUAAGUUCCGACCCGCACGAAAGGCGUAACGAUCUGGGCACUGUCUCAACGAGGGACUCGGUGAAAUUUAAAUACCCGUGAAGAUGCGGGUUACCCGCGACAGGACGGAAAGACCCCAUGGAGCUUUACUGCAGUUUGAUAUUGAGUGUCUGUACCACAUGUACAGGAUAGGUAGGAGUCUAUGAGAUCGGGACGCCAGUUUCGAAGGAGACGUUGUUGGGAUACUACCCUUGUGUUAUGGCCACUCUAACCCGGAUAGGUGAUCCCUAUCGGAGACAGUGUCUGACGGGCAGUUUGACUGGGGCGGUCGCCUCCUAAAAGGUAACGGAGGCGCCCAAAGGUUCCCUCAGAAUGGUUGGAAAUCAUUCGAAGAGUGUAAAGGCAUAAGGGAGCUUGACUGCGAGACCUACAAGUCGAGCAGGGUCGAAAGACGGACUUAGUGAUCCG